GUGAGGAAUAUUGGACAAUGGGCGCAAGCCUGAUCCAGCCAUGUCGCGUGCAGGAAGACGCAUCUAUGGUGUGUAAACUGCUUUUGUACGGGAAGAAACACUCCCUCGUGAGGGAGCUUGACGGUACCGUAAGAAUAAGGAUCGGCUAACUCCGUGCCAGCAGCCGCGGUAAUACGGAGGAUCCAAGCGUUAUCCGGAAUCAUUGGGUUUAAAGGGUCCGUAGGCGGUUUAAUAAGUCAGUGGUGAAAGCCCAUCGCUCAACGAUGGAACGGCCAUUGAUACUGUUAGACUUGAAUUACAAGGAAGUAACUAGAAUAUGUAGUGUAGCGGUGAAAUGCUUAGAUAUUACAUGGAAUACCAAUUGCGAAGGCAGGUUACUACUUGUGGAUUGACGCUGAUGGACGAAAGCGUGGGGAGCGAACAGGAUUAGAUACCCGAGUAGUCC
rnacentral:rRNA from 1 species